AACGUAGGAGACAAACGUUAUCCGGAGUUACUGGGCGUAAAGGGCGUGCAGGCGGUCGACUAAGUCUGGCGUGAAAGCUCGCGGCUAAACCGCGAGAGGUCGUUGGAUACUGGUUGACUAGAGGACGGUAGAGGCGUGUGGAAUUCCGGGUGUAGUGGUGAAAUGCGUAGAUAUCCGGAGGAACACCGGUGGCGAAGGCGGCUUCCUGGACCGAUUACUGACGCUGAGGCGCGAAAGCUAGGGGAGCAAACGGG
rnacentral:rRNA from 1 species